GACGUAGGGGGCCAGCGUUGCUCGGAAUUACUGGGCGUAAAGGGUUCGUAGGCGGUGUGGCAAGUCGGGAGUGAAAUCUCUGGGCUUAACUCAGAGGCUGCUUCCGAAACUGCCGUGCUAGAGUGCGGGAGAGGCGAGUGGAAUUGCAGGUGUAGCGGUGAAAUGCGUAGAUAUCGGGAGGAACACCUGUGGCGAAAGCGGCUCACUGGACCACAACUGACGCUGAGGCGCGAAAGCUAGGGGAGCAAACAGG
rnacentral:rRNA from 1 species